rnacentral:misc_RNA from 1 species
UCUCCGUUGGUGAACCAGCGGAGGGAUCAUUACCGAGUUUACAACUUCCAAACCCCUGUGAACAUACCAUUUGUUGCCUCGGCGGUGCCUGCUUCGGCAGCCCGCCAGAGGACCCAAACCCUUGAUUUUAUACAGUAUCUUCUGAGUAAAUGAUUAAAUAAAUCAAAACUUUCAACAACGGAUCUCUUGGUUCUG